rnacentral:tRNA from 1 species
GGCCGGUUAGCUCAGUUGAUUAGAGCGAGGUGCUUAUAACGCCAAGGUCACGUGUUCAGCCCCCGUACUGGCCA